rnacentral:rRNA from 1 species
CCUACGGGAGGCAGCAGUGAGGAAUAUUGGUCAAUGGACGAGAGUCUGAACCAGCCAAGUAGCGUGAAGGAUGACUGCCCUAUGGGUUGUAAACUUCUUUUAUAUGGGAAUAAAAUGUUCCACGUGUGGGAUUUUGUAUGUACCAUAUGAAUAAGGAUCGGCUAACUCCGUGCCAGCAGCCGCGGUAAUACGGAGGAUCCGAGCGUUAUGCGGAUUUAUUGGGUGUAAAGGGAGCGUAGGUGGAUUGUUAAGUCAGUUGUGAAAGUUUGCGGCUCAACCGUAAAAUUGCAGUUGAAACUGGCAGUCUGGAGUACAGUAGAGGUGGGCGGAAUUCGUGGUGUAGCGGUGAAAUGCUUAGAUAUCACGAAGAACUCCGAUUGCGAAGGCAGCUCACUGGACUGCAACUGACACUGAGGCUCGAAAGUGUGGGUAUCAAACAGGAUUAGAUACCCGAGUAGUC